rnacentral:rRNA from 1 species
CCUACGGGUGGCAGCAGUAGGGAAUCUUUCACAAUGGGCGAAAGCCUGAUGGAGCAACGCCGCGUGCAGGAUGAAGGCCUUCGGGUUGUAAACUGCUUUUAUAAGCGAGAAAUAUGAUGGUAACUUAUGAAUAAGGAUCGGCUAACUACGUGCCAGCAGCCGCGGUCAUACGUAGGAUCCGAGCAUUAUCCGGAGUGACUGGGUGUAAAGAGUUGCGUAGGUGGCAUAAUAAGUAGCUAGGGAAAUCUGGUGGCUCAACCAUUCAGACUAUUAGCUAAACUGUGAAGCUCGAGACCGUUAGGGGUAACUGGAAUUACUAGUGUAGGAGUGAAAUGCGUAGAUAUUAGAAGGAACACCAAUAGCGUAGGCAGGUUACUGGGACGGUUCUGACACUAAGGCACGAAAGCGUAGGGAGCAAACGGGAUUAGAUACCCUUGUAGUC